rnacentral:rRNA from 1 species
CUACCUUUGACAUGUACGGAAUUCGCCAGAGAUGGCUUAGUGCUCGAAAGAGAACCGUAACACAGGUGCUGCAUGGCUGUCGUCAGCUUGUGUCGUGAGAUGAGGGGUUAAGUCCCGCAACGAGCGCAACCCUUGUCAUUAGUUGCUACAUUUAGUUGGGCACUCUAAUGAGACUGCCGGUGACAAACCGGAGGAAGGUGGGGAUGACGUCAAGUCCUCAUGGCCCUUAUAGGUAGGGCUACACACGUCAUACAAUGGCUGGUACAAAGGGUUGCCAACCCGCGAGGGGGAGCCAAUCCUAUAAAACCAGUCGUAGUCCGGAUCGCAGUCUGCAACUCGACUGCGUGAAGUCGGAAUCGCUAGUAAUCGUGGAUCAGAAUGUCACGGUGAAUA